rnacentral:rRNA from 1 species
AUUGAACGCUGGCGGCAGGCUUAACACAUGCAAGUCGAGCGGAGAUGAGGUGCUUGCACCUUAUCUUAGCGGCGGACGGGUGAGUAAUGCUUAGGAAUCUGCCUAUUAGUGGGGGACAACAUUCCGAAAGGAAUGCUAAUACCGCAUACGCCCUACGGGGGAAAGCAGGGGAUCUUCGGACCUUGCGCUAAUAGAUGAGCCUAAGUCGGAUUAGCUAGUUGGUGGGGUAAGGCCUACCAAGGCGACGAUCUGUAGCGGGCCUGAGAGGAUGAUCCGCCACACUGGGACUGAGACACGGCCCAGACUCCUACGGGAGGCAGCAGUGGGGAAUAUUGGACAAUGGGCGGAAGCCUGAUCCAGCCAUGCCGCGUGUGUGAAGAAGGCCUUUUGGUUGUAAAGCACUUUAAGCGAGGAGGAGGCUACCUGGAUUAAUACUCUAGGAUAGUGGACGUUACUCGCAGAAUAAGCACCGGCUAACUCUGUGCCAGCCGCCGCGGUAAUAC